UCGCACGAAGGGUGCACCCGACCGGGGGCAUCUGCACAGCACUUUGGGGCAGGUGUCAACUUUCAGUGAAAAAAAUGAGAGAGAGAAAAAGGGUAAGAAUAGUUAUAAGGAGAUAGAGCCGGAGCAGGAGCCACUUGCUGAAAGAGCGCCAGGACUAGCAGUCCAUCUAUUUGCUCUCUGAUCCCACCGAGGCGUUGAGCCGUCUCCACUUCCUGCUGCCCCCUCCAUCGCAAUCGACUCUUAAUCUCAGAUAGGCGGGUCUUAUAAUUUCCAUCUUCGUCCGUCGAUCCGGCGAUGGAAGGGGAAGGGGAAGGGGAAGGGGAAGGGGGAGGAGCGGUGGCUGUGGGGGCGGUGGUGGGAGAGCAGUAUUGCAGCGAAGAGGAGCGGGAGCUGACGGUGCGGAAGACGUCCCUCUUCUUUCCGGGGGACGGGUUCGCCGCCUACGACCCCCAGACAGGGGAGAUGGUAUUCCGUGUAGACACAUACGGCCGGGGACCCGCCCUUGCCGACCAGCUCGUCCUCAUGGAUACCCCCGGCGCCUCCAUCCUUACCUUCCGACGCAAGUGGCCGAGCCUGCACCAGCGGUGGGAGGGCUUCCUGGGUGAGCGGAGUGAGGGGCAGGAACCGCUGUUCACCGUGAGGAGGUCAUCCAUCUUCGGCGGCGACCGAGGCGAUGUGGCGGUAGAGGUGCACGGCGUUGGCGGGACGUACCGGAUCGAGGGUUCCUUCGCCCAGCGCUGUUGCCGGGUGCUGCACGAGGGCCGCGGCGGAGGGGGAGAGAGAGGAGGGGUGGAGGUGGUGGUGGCGGAGAUCAAGCGCAAAGUGGAUGCGUGCGCCCACGUGGUGCUGGGAAGGGACGUGUUUCGCCUCUGCCUGCGGCCCCGUUUCGACGCGGCCUUCGCGAUGGGCCUCGUCCUCGUCCUCGACCAGAUCUGCCGCGACGACGAGGAAGACGACAUCUCCCCUGCCGACCGCGACGAUAUCCAGGGCGCCGACAGCCACGCCGACGGGGAUGCCCACCACUCAUAACCUCUCUUCUUCUGUACCAGUUAAUCGACACUACUCUUUCCACCUCUCUCCGAACCGGGUUCCCCUCUUUGGCUCUCUCGUUUUCUCUGCGCCUCUUUUCUUACUCCGCUUUUGUAAAGCGUUAUGAUUCGCCGAGAUGGUGGAUUUUUUUGUGUCCGCACCAGACCUCCACCAUCAGUUUUUUUUUUUUUUUUGCCUUUUUCGCUUUCCUUAUUUUUCUUUUUUUAUUAUAAUAGAGUUUUUUAUUAUCAGUAAAAAUGAUAUUGUUAUUUUCUCUUCCAAA